GACGAACCGUGCAAACGUUGUUCGGAAUUAUUGGGCGUAAAGCGCGUGUAGGCGGCUUGGCAAGUCGGGUGUGAAAUCCCUCAGCUUAACUGAGGAAGUGCGCCCGAAACUGCUUUGCUUGAGUGUCGGAGAGGAUGGCGGAAUUCCCCAAGUAGAGGUGAAAUUCGUAGAUAUGGGGAGGAACACCGGUGGCGAAGGCGGCCACCUGGACGACAACUGACGCUGAGGCGCGAAAGCGUGGGUAGCAAACAGG
rnacentral:rRNA from 1 species